rnacentral:rRNA from 1 species
CCUACGGGGAGCAGCAGUGAGGAAUAUUGGUCAAUGGACGAGAGUCUGAACCAGCCAAGUAGCGUGAAGGAUGACUGCCCUAUGGGUUGUAAACUUCUUUUAUAUGGGAAUAAAAUGUUCCACGUGUGGGAUUUUGUAUGUACCAUAUGAAUAAGGAUCGGCUAACUCCGUGCCAGCAGCCGCGGUAAUACGGAGGAUCCGAGCGUUAUCCGGAUUUAUUGGGUUUAAAGGGAGCGUAGGUGGAUUGUUAAGUCAGUUGUGAAAGUUUGCGGCUCAACCGUAAAAUUGCAUUUGAAACUGGCAGUCUUGAGUACAGUAGAGGUGGGCGGAAUUCGUGGUGUAGCGGUGAAAUGCUUAGAUAUCACGAAGAACUCCGAUUGCGAAGGCAGUUCACUGGACUGCAACUGACACUGAGGCUCGAAAGUGUGGGUAUCAAACAGGAUUAGAUACCCCAGUAGUC